GGGUGACUGGCGAGAGGACAUGUGUUCAUGGUGCCUGUGUCCUUCAUAACUUGGGUCACAGCAGUUUCCAACAAGAAAGAGAACUGAAACAACCAGGGAAUUCCCUGGCAAGGAGAAGUCCUGCCCAGUCUGCAUCUUUCAGAAGCCAGGAGGAAUGCCCCAGGUUUGUGGGUAGGAGUAUGCAUACACAGUGCUGGUUGUUGGCUUUCCGGAGGCAGAUGGGAGCUGGAAGUCUCACGAAGGGAGAGUAAGAGCCCGAAGGGUAAGAGCUGGGGAAGUGCCGGUUUCACUCAGCCUGGCUCCCUUGGCUAGGACAGCCUCUGGUUGGGUGUUGGGCAUCUGGUGUUGGGAUCCUGGGACAUAUUACAUCAGUCAGCAAAUGUCCCCCAUCAUGUGCUCAGGGAGGGCUCAGGGACAGAACAAUUGCCUCCCCAGGCAACCCCUGAAACUCCCACCUCCAGGGCUUUCUCCAACAUUAGACCAGUGAGGCUUCUGCAGCCAGACGGACUCAGGUCUGAGGCUUGGCUCCUACGUGCAACAACUCAAGCAAGUUAUGCAGCCUUUCUGCACCUCAGUUUUCUGCUCUGUAAAAUGGGGACAAAUUGCUGUUGUUGUGAGGACUCAAUGAGAUAUGUGGAAAGUGCCAAGCACGCGGUGAGAAUUGAUAAGUGAGAACUGCUCUUAGUAGAACCCUUGAUGGUAGAGCAAAAAUGCACCCUGGGGAUACGGGCUGUCAGAGGAGACUUAACAACUGCGCACACAAAACCUAAGUUUUCAGACAGCUCCAGUUUUUGCUUAAAAUAAGCAUGGCUGUUCCCAAUAUGGUAGGUGCACAAAACCCAGAGGGUCCACAGCAUUUCUGGACUUUUGUAUUGACUCCUCAUUUAAAACUCUUUCCAGAAAGCCGAUUCAUUACAAUGCUGGCUAAUACCCACAGGAACACUGAACUCCACUGUGUGGGAGCUUGAGGGGCCUGUGCUGCCCAUGCCGAGUGUCCACCAUCUCACACUGCUUCUAACACCUUCAAGCCAUCUCCUGAAUCUGGAAUAGUCAUCAUGAGCUGGAGGCUUCCUCAGAAGAACCCUAAAAUCAAGGGGGAUUCUGGUGCCAAGAAAAAUAGCCCAACCCAGCUUCACAGCUGUGAGCCUCCAAUGCGCCCCAGGAAGCUGCCAUCACCAUGGGUAGCGCGACCUGGCUUGAUUUUGCCAAAACAAAGGAAAAUUCCUCCAGCAAUUUCUGUGAAUUUGUUUUGCAAAACUGAAUUGUCUGCUUUUAAUUCCCCUAUACCAAUUAAAUAAAAAUUGGAAUUUAAAAUCCAGUGAAUGACAGAAACCUCACUUUGGAGUGGAUGACAGACCCCACGCAACCUGGGGUCUGGGGUAGAGAAGUGAGAUGCUGGGAACUUCCAGGGAGUGGCGGCUUUGGUGGCAGGCUCCCUAGGUUUUGGGGCUCCUGGACCAUCCUU
rnacentral:lncRNA from 1 species